UACGAAGGGGGCUAGCGUUGUUCGGAAUUACGGGGCGUAAAGCGCACGUAGGCGGAUAUUUAAGUCAGGGGUGAAAUCCCAGAGCUCAACUCUGGAACUGCCUUUGAUACUGGGUACCUUGAGUAUGGAAGAGGUAAGUGGAAUUGCGAGUGUAGAGGUGAAAUUCGUAGAUAUUCGCAGGAACACCAGUGGCGAAGGCGGCUUACUGGUCCAUAACUGACGCUGAGGUGCGAAAGCGUGGGGAGCAAACAGG
rnacentral:rRNA from 1 species